rnacentral:lncRNA from 1 species
GACAAUUCAGGUGACUCCCUCAUUCACACCAAUCCUCCACCCCUCACUCAGACACCAACAGCUUAAGAGAAACAGAAUGUCUGUACCAAAGGGAGGACUUUUCAUGGCAUAAAACUCAAGAAAGAGUUCAAGACAAGAAGAUGAAGUUCCAGGUACCAUUUUCAGUUCAGGUUUCCCAAAUUCUUCAACCCACGUGGAUCCUCAAGAAUGGUACAUCACUACCUCCUUAUCCCCUUUCUGCACUUGAUGUAGAUAAAAUUUAUAAAUCAUUUUCUAGGGAUUUUACUGUAUAGAAUAUUGUCAUAUUUGUGGCCAAUUUGAAAAAUUAGCUUAUGAUACUUCUUGCCUUUCAUUUCUUUGAAGAAAAAAUUUCUAUGGAAAAGCAGACAUGAAUGCAUAUGCUUUGAAAGUAGUAAGACUGUAGACUUGAGUGUAUAUUUUCAUUCUCGAAGCCAUGUAGAGCA